rnacentral:rRNA from 1 species
UACGUAGGGGGCGAGCGUUGUCCGGAUUUAUUGGGCGUAAAGAGCGUGUAGGCGGUCUGUCGCGUCUGCUGUGAAAAUCCGGGGCUCAACCCCGAACUUGCAGUGGGUACGGGCAGACUAGAGUGUGGUAGGGGAGACUGGAAUUCCUGGUGUAGCGGUGAAAUGCGCAGAUAUCAGGAGGAACACCGAUGGCGAAGGCAGGUCUCUGGGCCAUAACUGACGCUGAGAAGCGAAAGCAUGGGGAGCGAACAGG